CAAUUUGUAGACGGGUGGGGAG
rnacentral:piRNA from 1 species